UCUUUCCAAACCUACCGCUUUUUUCGUCUUUUAAAAACCUCUUUUAUCUCAAAAGCCUCUGAAAACUAAGUUUUUUCUCUCUGAAUUUUCUCACGAAAUUUAUUUCUAUCUUUCUUGUUUUUUAAAAAUCUCCCCUCAAGUAAAGCACUCCCCUCCCUAUUUAUAGGCAUAAAUCCGGACUACAACUCCGGAUUUGAAACCCUAAAAUAGAAAAACGGAUGGCAAAG
rnacentral:lncRNA from 1 species